UACGUAGGGUGCAAGCGUUAAUCGGAAUUACUGGGCGUAAAGCGUGCGCAGGCGGCUUUGCAAGACAAGAUGUGAAAUCCCCGGGCUUAACCUGGGGAACUGCAUUUGUGACUGGCGGGCUAGAGUAUGGCAGAGGGGGGGUAGAAUUCCACGUGUAGCAGUGAAAUGCGUAGAGAUGUGGAGGAAUACCGAUGGCGAAG
rnacentral:rRNA from 1 species